rnacentral:tRNA from 1 species
AAGGGUAUAGCUCAGUGGUAGAGUGCCUGCUUAGCAUGCAUGAGGUCCUGAGUUCAAUCCCCAGUGCCUCCA